AGCUGGCCUGAUAUUGUUCUUUGAUGCUGUGAAUGUGUAUGGAAUGCCUACUGUCUGGUGUCACUUCAGACAAUUUUGCUACGGUUUACUGUAUGUUCUGUCUAUCUGUCUGCCAAACUCUCAAACUUGUUGUCUGUCUUUUUGUCUUCCUCUUUGGGCACCGGCAGGCACAGUCAUUCCGGUAGUCCGUUCCUCGAUGGACGUGAUGACCUGGCACCAAAACCGCUUAAUGUGUACGGAGCUGUGUCUGCAUCGAGGGAAGAACGCGGCACUGAAAUGACACAAAUGAAAGAAGAUUACUUCUGCUCUGCUGGGUCUGUGACACUAUUUAUCCGAGGAGUCCUCAAACAUCAGGAUGUAGGAAGACACAAGUAAAAGGAGAAGAAUGCUGCUCAGCUGGGUCGGCGGCCACACUACUUAUUCAAGAAGCUCUUGGAUAUCAUCAGCAUGUAUGAAGUACGUUUUUUUUAUAUCAAUGCACAACAGCAGGCGUUAAUGCACACACACACUCACACACACACACAAUGAGGCCUGAUAUUGUUCUUUGGUUCUGUGAAUGUGUAUGGAAUGCCUACUGUGUGGUGUCACUUCAGACAAUUUUGCUACAGUUUACUGUAUGUUCUGUCUAUUAGUUUGCCAAACUCUCAAACUUGUUGUCUUUCUUUUUGUCUUCCUCUUUGGGCACCGGUAGGCACAGUCAUUCCGGUGCAGUCAAGUCAGAAAUAACAUUUUAUAUACCUGUGUGUGUG